rfam:Leuconostoc lactis strain WIKIM21 contig00030, whole genome shotgun sequence.
UAUAAAGGCGCUCCUUUGCGUUUUUGGAUUAAGCAUGAAGAAUGUCUGGCCAAAGAUAAUUUCUUCAUGCUUUUAUUAUAGCA